AUGCAGUUUGUGUCAACAUGGCCACAAUCUCGGCAGCUGGGCAUCCAGGGUCUGGGGCUGGACAGCGGGAGCUGGAGCUGGGCGCAGGCUCUGCCCCAGGAGACCGGCGCUGCGCGGGGAAAUGGUCGAGGGAAUGCCGCCCCAUGCAGCAUUUAUUACUGGCUUGGUGAACAACAUAGGCAGCAUGCUGACCCAGUUCUACGGAUUCACCCUAUUAAGGAAGAAAUGGAGAUUCCUGAUUUGAGAGAUUGCUUGGUCAAAAUUCGGCAAGACUACAAUUUGCAUAUGCUGCUAAGCCCUUCGGCAUUGUGUUCUUUUCACUGACAGAAUGUGUUCCACAAGAAGUAUCUGCCUGUGGCCAGCAUGGUGAGUUGAUGGCUUGGCCACCACCACCUCGAGAGAAAACUGGUGCAGCCAGAGGUGAUGUGCUCCAAAUGAUAACUGCCAUCCCCUGUCUAUGUGGGUUCUCACAGUCAUAAUAUAGUUUAUAUCACAUCAGAAAAAUUAAUGUGCCUACUUCUCAAAUGUAAAGAUACUUACCAGACAUUGUAAAAGCAUAUUCAUGUAAGUGAAUUUGUUCAGGUAAAACUAUUACCUGUUGAGCUCUAGAGAUGUGAGCUACAGUGAGAGCUGUUUUCUUUUUGUAUAUAACUUUCUCACCAUGAUUUCUGUAUCAUGACACUGCCAUUAUUCUGUGUCAAGUCCCCCAUGUACCCCCAGGUCACAUUGUCUUGAGGUGGGGUAUCCUUUGAGUCCCAGAAUAACCACAGGUCUAGACAGAAUCCUAUGUGAACCAGCAGAAACCUCCAUGAAAAGGAGCGAUGUUUUCCUUGCUUCUUCCCCCUGCCCUCAAAAGUGCUCCCAUAAGAUUUCUGAACUAGGAGAGUAGAAAGAGAAGUACUUUAAAAUCUGCAUUUUUAAUUACAUUUUUAGCAUUCUCCUGCGCAGUUCUGUAACAUCUGUAGUGCUAAGCACUGGGGAGAAGAAAGUGCCAUUUUGGAGAUGAAAAAAUAGGUUGAUUCUGUGUUGGCUUCUUCCUUGCUACUCUUUGAAGACUGUUUUUGCAGCAACAGAAGCUUUUGUUGUCAUCAGUGAUGUUGAGAGAUUUAUACAUGUUUAUGUUCGGCUCAAGAAAAGCUGCUUUAUCUUCUGUCUACUAGGUCUUUUUCUUUGCAGUUGAUAAAGAAGUUGGGGUUCGUUUCUUCCAUGCCUUGAAAGAUGUGGGUUUGUGGUUAUUAUUUAAUCAUUUAUUUUGUUAGGUUUCCACACCUAAAUAAAGAAUGAGUCAAAAUCUGGGAGUUGGACAUGCCUUUUUAUCAGGUCCUACUGGAACUGUGUGGCCAUAAUGUAGGCUGCCGAGAGUUGGCCCCAGCCAUCUGAGUGCAUCGCCAUUGUGGCCAGCCAGCCAGCUCCUUGGACCCUGUUUCCAUCAGCUCCGCUGGCAACAAUUCUGGAAUUCUGGGUUUGGCUUUUUAAAAAUGUUGUCAAAUGUGGUUUUCUUCUCAAUAGGCAUUGAAUGAAACACUGCGAAUGUUGCCACUGACUCAGCGAUGUCUGGGAAUAACAGGAGCAGGCUGACGUCACGCAGUUUUAUGUUGACUUAUCACACGCUGUGUCCUGAUGACCAGCAGUGUCUGGCCCUGGCAGGCAGGCACUCACUGUCGGUUGAUUGAAUGAACGUUAGCUUUUCCAUCACGAAAGACUCACUUUUACUGGGUUUUACAACUUUAAUCAAGCAUUCUGGAACCCUCUUAAAGAACGGAAGAUCGUUUCAACAGUGUGAAGGAGUGGGGGUAGGUUGUGCUCACGGGGAGGAAAUAAGUGACAAGAGAAUCUGAGACAGAUGCUUGGGAGAAAGGGGCCUGUCCAAUGCCAGAGGAUGAGCAUAAGGAUGUUUCCUGCAGCCUCUCUAAAGCCUUCUUCACUCACAUUGAAUAUGGAGAGCAGAGAACA
rnacentral:lncRNA from 1 species